rnacentral:rRNA from 1 species
GUGAGGAAUUUUGCGCAAUGGGGGAAACCCUGACGCAGCGACGCCGCGUGGGUGAUGACGGCCUUCGGGUUGUAAAGCCCUGUCAGGGGGAACGAAAUAGACGGUACCCUCUGAGGAAGCCUCGGCUAACUACGUGCCAGCAGCCGCGGUAAGACGUAGGGGGCAAGCGUUGUCCGGAUUUAUUGGGCGUAAAGGGCUUGUAGGUGGGAUUGCAAGUCGCGGAGUAAAUUCCCCGGCUCAACUGGGGACUCAUCCAGCGAUACUGCAGUUCUUGAGAACAGGAGAGGAAAGUGGAAUUCCCGGUGUAGCGGUGAAAUGCGUAGAGAUCGGGAGGAACACCAGUGGCGAAGGCGGCUUUCUGGCCUGAUUCUGACACUGAGGAGCGAAAGCCAGGGGAGCGAACGGGAUUAGAAACCCCAGUAGUCC